GGGCUCGUCGUCUAGUCUGGUUAGGACGCCACCUUGACAUGGUGGAGGUCCCCGGUUCAAAUCCGGGCGAGCCCA
rnacentral:tRNA from 5 species